GAUGAACGCUGGCGGCGUGCCUAAUACAUGCAAGUCGAGCGAACAGACGAGGAGCUUGCUCCUCUGACGUUAGCGGCGGACGGGUGAGUAACACGUGGAUAACCUACCUAUAAGACUGGGAUAAAUUCGGGAAAUCGGAGCUAAUACCGGAUAAUAUAUUGAACCGCAUGGUUCAAUAGUGAAAGACGGUUUUGCUGCCACUUAUAGAUGGAUCCGCGCCGCAUUAGCUAGUUGGUAAGGUAACGGCUUACCAAGGCAACGAUGCGUAGCCGACCUGAGAGGGUGAUCGGCCACACUGGAACUGAGACACGGUCCAGACUCCUACGGGAGGCAGCAGUAGGGAAUCUUCCGCAAUGGGCGAAAGCUUGACGGAGCAACGCCGCGUGAGUGAUGAAGGUCUUCGGAUCGUAAAACUCUGUUAUUAGGGAAGAACAAAUGUGUAAGUAACUAUGCACGUCUUGACGGUACCUAAUCAGAAAGCCACGGCUAACUACGUG
rnacentral:rRNA from 1 species